UACGGAGGGUGCAAGCGUUAAUCGGAAUUACUGGGCGUAAAGCGCACGUAGGCGGUUCGUUAAGUUGGAUGUGAAAUCCCCGGGCUCAACCUGGGAAUGGCAUUUGAGACUGCAUGGCUAGAGUGUGUCAGAGGGGGGUAGAAUUCCACGUGUAGCAGUGAAAUGCGUAGAUAUGUGGAGGAAUACCGAUGGCGAAGGCAGCCCCCUGGGAUAACACUGACGCUCAUGCACGAAAGCGUGGGGAGCAAAC
rnacentral:rRNA from 1 species